CCACCAACCAACGAAGUACUGGGCCUGUGGGUAUUCGUCUCUCUCCCCGCCCCUGAGAGUCUGGGAAAGGCUGACACGUGGUGCCUUCAGGCUCUGGGGCCUAGGACCUUUGUGGUAGCAGAGUCACUGCAGAGAACCAGACAAUACCAGGUUGCUUAUAAAAGGAUGCCAUGUGCUUGCUGGAGGUCCCAGGUGCAACCAAAUUGCUUGCAGCUAGGAGGACCUUGAAGAGAAAUGGGAUCAGCCCGCCAAACCAAGAAGGGUUAGCACUUUUGCUAGGAGAGCUGACCACGCACAAACAGAUGAGAACCAAAACCGAGUGAAGAGGAUUGAAGAUGAACCCACAUUUUAAAAGUUCUUGUCUGCUGGAGGUGGCAUUACCUGUGACCUCGCUUCACUUCUCCAUACAUGGCUGUUAUAGCAGAAAAUCCAGCUUUCUGAAGCAUAUUUCACGACAUAUGAUGAGACUUAUGUGAUGUGAGACCUGAGAAAACUAUGAUAGAAAGAAGCAACUCAAGUUGCAAGGAUAUUCCUCAUGUAUCAUGCAAGGAUAUUCCUCAUAUAUCAUAGACUAAGGUGUCAGUAUGUUCUUCAAGCUGCUCUGCUCCUGGGCCCAAGCUAUUCUCCUGCCUCAGCCUUCCAAGAAGCUGAAACUACAAGAACACAAGACUGUACCUGGCUUGCAAACACCAUUGCUAAUAAGAAGAUAUUACAUGGAUCCCUGAGGUCGGUCCCCAAUACGACAAGACAAUUUGAUAUCAUAAUAGAACACUGCAGAAACAAUGCUGAGUGAAGAAGAGUAGAAAUGGGAAGACUUGGUUGAGCGGAAACUGAGUUCUUGAAAAGAGGAGAUGCUUGAUGAGGGCAUGGAUCCCUGAGGUCUGCCCCAGUACUAUAAGACAAUUUGAUGUAAGAAAACACAGCAGAUAUAAUACUGAGUGAAGAAGAGUAUAAAUGAGAAGAUUGGUUGUGCAGAUACUGAGUUCAUGAAAAGAGGAGAUGAUUGAUGAGGCCAGGUGCGGUGACUCAUGCCUGUAAUCCCUGCACUUUGGGAGGCUGCGGCGGGCGGAUCACCUGAGGUCAGGAGUUCGAGACCAGCCUGGGAGACAGAGCAUGGAAACCUAAGGUCUGUACCCAAAACUACAGGACUAUUUGACAUCAUAAUAAAACACUGCAGAUAUGAUGCUGAGUAAGAGUAGAAAUGGGAAGACUUGGUUGUGCAGUAACUGAGUUCUUGAAAAGAGGAGAUGCUUGAUGAGGGCAUGGAUCACUAAGGUCUGUUCCCAAUACAAGAAGACUCUUUGACAUCAUAAUAAAAUACUGCAGAUACGAUGCUGAGUGAAAAAGAGUAGAAAUGGGAAGACUUGGUUGUGCAGAAACUGAGUUCUUAAAGAGAGGAGAUACUUUAUGAGGGCUGGAGUGCACUGGAGCAAUCCUGGCUGGCCAAUACUGAGUUCUUGAAAACAGGAGAUGCUUGAUGAGGAUGGGAUCAUCUAGUUGCAGGAAAACAAGGCUCAGGGUGCCUACUGAUUCUACAUUAUGCUUGGUCCGGAGAGCUGCCUUGGACUCUCCAAUGCAGCUGCCUCUGUUACCUUGACUCGUCUCAGAUUUCAUUGACCCAAGAUGGGUCCUGGCACUAGGAAUGUAAGACUGUCUCCAUUCUUUUGGCUUGUUCCAGAGAAGCCCAUGCAAGGUUCCUACUGACCAUAUGUUUCUUUCUUUUCUUUUGUUUUUUGAGACGGAGUUUCGCUGUUGUUGCCCAGGCUGGAGUGCAAUGGCGCGAUCUCCGCUCACUGCAACAUCCGCCUCCCGGACUCAAGCGAUUCUCCUGCCUCAGCCUCCCGAGUAGCUGGGAUUACAGGCAUGCGCCACCACGCCCGGCUAAUUUUGUAUUUCUAGUAGAGUUAGAGUUUCUCCAUAUUGGUCAGGCUGGUUUCGAACUCCUGGCCUCAGGUGAUCUGCCCUCCUUGGCCUCCCAAAGCGCUGGGAUUAUAGGCGUGAGCCACCGCCCCCGGCCUUGACCAUAUGUUUUAUUUCUAGCUUUGAUGUCUGGGCAUCGAUUUCCCUCGGUUAAACUAUUUGCUCAAUGUUAAGGCCACUCUGUAGAAAUUUGUCUGUGUAACUGAGGUGCUAUGCAGGCCUGCCUGUGUGACUGUCAUGCAGGCCUGUCUGUGUGAUUGUCAGGGAGAAUUGGUCUGCCACAAUCCUUUUCUAAGCAUAGCCAAUAGAGGUAGUUAGGCAUAAUUUGUAUAUUACAGAAAUUGCCUUACAGAGAGUAACACAUUUCUAUACUCUCCUUCCAUAACAGACACUUAAAAAAACAAAAAAAGUAAUGUAUGCUUGCUGUGGACCUCAUUUAAGAUUGCAACAGAAGCACUUUUCAAUACUAUUAAACAGCUUUUUACUUUCCAUAUUUUAAGCUUUUUAAUUUAUUAUUUAUUUUCUUAAUUUUCUAUUUUUAAUUUUUUGAUACAUUAUAUUUGUAUAUAUUUAAGGGUACAUGUGAAAUUUUGUUACAUGCAUACAAUGUGUAAUAAUCAAUUCAUGAUAUUUAAGUUACCUAUCAACAAAGUAUUUAUCAUUUCUAUGUGUUGGGUACAUUUCAAGUCCUUUCUUCCAGCUAUUUUAAAACUACAGAAAAGUGUUGAUUAUAGUCACCUUACUCUUCUAUCAAAGUUUAGAACUUAUUUUUUCUAACUGUAUGUUUCUACGCAUUAACCAACUCUCUUCAGCCCCACUGCCCUCCCGCAAAUACACCCUUUCCUGUCUCUGGUAUCUAUCAUUCCACGCUCCACCUCCAUGCCAACAAGUAUUUUAGCUCCUACAGAUGAAUGAGAGCUAUAUUUUCCUUUCUGUGCCUGGCUUAUUUCACUUAACAUAAUGAUCUUCAGUUCCAUCCAAGUUGCUGCAAAUACAUCAUUUCAUUUUUUUAAUGGCUGAAGAGUAUUCCAUUUUGUAUAUAUAGACUGCAUAUUCUAGGUUUUCCAGUUCGUUAGUGUAUAGUCGUUCAUAAUACUCUCUGAUGAUCUUUUGUAUUUCUGUGGUAUCAGUGGUAAUCUCUCCUUUGCCAUUUCUGAUUUUGUUUAUUUGGGUCUGUUCUUUUCUUGGUUAGUCUAGCUAGUGGUUUAUCAGGUUCAUAUGUGUGUGUGUGUGUGUAUAUAUAUAUAUAAAUAUAAAACUGUCACCCAGGCUGGAGUGCAGUGGUGUGAUCUUGGCUCACUGCAACCUCCAUCUCCUGGGUUCAAGCGAUUCUUGUGCCUCAGCCUCCCUAGUAGCUGAGUUUACAGGCGUGCGCCACCAUGCCUGGCUACUUUUUUUAUUUCUAGUAGAGAUGAGAUUUCACCAUUUUGGCCACGCUGAUCUCGAACUCCUGACCUCAAGUGAUUCACCCGUCUUGGCCUCCCGAAGUGCUGGGAUUACAGGAGUGAGCCAUCGCGCCCAGCAGUUUUGUUUAUAUUUUCAAAGAACCAAUUUUUCAUUUUGUUGAUCCUUUGUGUUGGUUUUUCAUCUCUAUUUUGUUUAGUUCUGCUUUGAUCUGUAUUAUUUAUUGAUCCAUGUUACCAUGGUUUUUUUUUAGUAGAAAAUAGCUUUUAUUUAUACAUGGAUUCAGAAAAUAAGGAAAUACUCUCAAAAAGAAAAACACUGAUAUAAAUGGACCAUGCCAUAAUAAGCACUGAUUAAAUUUAAUACUUCUGAUUCUCUUGUUUUAUGCAUAAAUCAGUCUUUAAAUUCCUGUAAAAGACAUAAAGAACUGAAUUAUUCAAUCAAUAAACACAAUUUACGUAUUAAAUAUAACACUUUACAUCUCACAAUUAGAGAAUGAGUUUUGUUUUUUUUUUUUUUUUUUUGAGAUGGACUUCUGGCUCUGUCGCCCAGGCUGGAGUAUAGUGGCCUGAUCUUGGCUCACCGCAACCUCCAACCUCCCAGGUUCAAGUGAUUCUCCUGCCUCAGCCCCCUGAGUAGGUGAGAUUACAGGUGCCUGCCACCACGCCGGCCUAUUUUUGUAUUUUUUAGUAGAGACGGGGUUUCCCCAUGUUGGCCAGGCUAGUCUCAAACUCCUGACCUCAAGUGAUCCGCCCACCUUGGCCUCCUAAAGUGCUGGGAUUACAGGUGUGAGCCACUGUGCCCGGCAAGAAUGAGAAUUUUUAAUAGGUUUAUCAGUCUUUUGGCUUAAAAUCAUUUAAUGUAUUAAAAUAGUAAGCAUUUAUCCAUCCAUAUCAUUUGUCUAUUCAAUAAAUUUGGAAGUAAAGAAACAUUACCAAAAUCUUAUCCAAUCUGAAAUUAAUAAACACGUUUAAGAUUCUCUUUUACUCAAAUAGGAAAUAAAAAGGGAACUUACAUAAUAUCCAGAGAAUAAUUAAAGGCAAAAUACAUCAAGUCAAAUCCUAUUAUGCCUGCAGAUGCUUUUCUCAGAGGAAAGCCUUUAUCCAUUAAUGACUUUAUUAAAAUGUUUAUUUAUUUAUUUAUUAUCAUAAGCUCAACCAAGUGUUAUAUAAAACAGUUUUGAAAAUUAAGGUAAUAAGACCGAAAAGAAUGAACUAAUCUUACCAAAUGUUAAUAAACAAAUAAUUAAUCCAAGCAAAUGAGAAGAAUUGAUUCAAUCAUUUUGAAAGUGAAAUCACAGGAAUAGAAAGCCAAAAAUUAAUAAUCAAUGAAUUUUAAACAGAUUCUUUGAAAUUAUCAGUAAAAUAUAUCAGCCUUAUUUUAGUCCAUUCAGGCUGCUGUAGCAAAAUACCAUAGCUAGGUGAUUUAUAAUCUUUUAUAAAUAAUAAAACUUACUGCUCACAGUUGUGGUGUCUGGGAAGUCCAAGAUCAAGGCCCCAGCACAUUCAUUAUCUGUUGAAGGCUCACUCUCUGCUUCAAAGAUGGCACCUUCUAUCUAUAUGCUCACAUGGCAGAAGAGGUGACAAGCUCUCUCACGUCUGUUUUAUUAGGGAACUAAUCCCAUUCAGUAUGACUGACCCUCCAUUAUCUAAUCAGCUUCCAAAGGCUACAUCUCUUAAUAAUAUCACCUUGGGGGUUAGGUUUCAACAUAUAAAUUUUGGGGGAUACAGACUUUUAGAACAUACCUUCCCACCCUUGGGCCCCCCAAAUUUGUGUCUUUCCCACAUGCAAAAUAUAUUCAUCCUAUCCUAAUAGCCCCCAAAUUCUUUUUUUUUUUUUUUUUUUUUUUCCUGAGACGGAGUCUCACUCUGUUACCCAGGCUGGAGUGCAGUGGUGCAAUCUUGGCUCGCUGCAACCUCCACCUCCCAGGCUCAAGUGAUUCUCGUGCCUCAGCCUCCUGAGUAGCUGGGACUACAGGCGUGUGCCACUAUGCCUGGGUAAUUUUUGUAUUUUUAGUAUAGACGGGGUUUCAAUAUGUUGGCCAGGCUGGUCUUGAACUCCUGACCUCGUGAUCCACCCACCUUGGCUUCCCAAAGUGUUGGGAUUACAGGCGUGAGCCACCGUGCCCGUCAAUAGCCCCCAAAUUCUUAACCUGUUUUUGCAUCAACUCAAAAGUUUAAAGUUCAAAGUCUCAUCUAAAUAUCAUCUACGUUAGAUUUGGGUGAGACUCAAGGUAUCAUUCAUUCUGAGCCAAAUUCCCCUUCUACUCUGAGCUUUUGAAGUUAAACAAGUUUUAUGUUUCCAAAAUACAGUGGUGGGACAGGCAUAAGUUAGAAAUUCCCAUUCCAUAAGGGAGAGAGAAGAAAGGAAAAGGGGUAAUAUGUUUCAAGGAAGUCUAAAACCCAAGAGCACAAACAAUAUUAAAACUUAAGGCUGGAGAAUAAUCUUCUUUGACUCAGUGUUGUGCCUUUCACACACACUUGGAUGAGGAUUGGGCCCCCAAGGCUUUAACUGGUCCCAUUCCCAAUGACUUUUCUGUGCAUAGCCCGUGCCACAGUGCUCAUGUGUUGGAGUCUUGUGUUUGUGGUUGUCCUAGGCUGGAGUUGCACACUGGUGGCUUUACCAAUCUGAGGUCUCUGGGAUGGCCCUGCCCUCAUGGUUUUACCAGACUUUGCCUUUAUGGUGGUCCCUCCAUGGCUUUAAUAGACAUUGCCCCAAUGGUGACUCUUUAUUGUAGUCCUAUUCCUGUGGGACAUCUUUGUCCAUGCCCUGCAGCUCUCUGGGAGUACCCUUAGUAAUAUAGGUGGAGGUAGCCAUGUCUCUACAGCUCAUUUUGCUCUGUGCUCCUGUGGAGAUGGCACUGUGUUGAUGCUGCCAAGAUUUUUACUGCCUGUGCACUUUAGAGUGGUGGCCUGAACCACAUCUGGGCCCAUUUGAGACACAUCUGAUGAGAGAGGGAGCUGAAAAAUGCUGUGCCAGAAUGUAGGGAGCAGAGACUUGAGGUAGUUCAGGGCAGCAAGCACUGAGGUUCCUUGGAUGCCCAAGGUCCCUCUUUUGACCUCAUUUUACGCCCCAGGUUUGGUAUUCUGAGCCUGUGAUGUGAGUGGCAGGCUGGAUGGUCUCUGAAAUGCCUUUAGGGUCAUUCUCUUAUUGUCAUGCAGAAUAGCAUCUGCCUUCCUUCUAUCCCUACUAAUCUUCUUAUCAAAUGGUGGCUUGGUCAUACCUUUAGUAUUCUCUUCUGAAUAUGCUUUUUCAUUAACUCUUCACAACAUAGCCACACUGAAAAUUUUUCAGAUCUUUACAUUCUGCUUCCCUUUUGAUUAUAAAUUCUUUUUAAUUUGUUUCUAUCUUCUUGUAUUUUACUACAAGCAUUCAAGAGAGGCCAUAACACACCCUCAACACUUUGCUUAGAUAUUUAUUUCACUAACUAUACUAUCAUUGCUCAGAAGUUCUACCUUCUGCAAAGCCCUAGGAUACAUACACAGUUCAGCCAGGUUAUUUGCCACUUUAUAAGAGGGAUGGCUUUUCCUCCAGUUUCUGAUAACAUUUCUCAUUUUCACCUGAGACUUCAUCAGAAUGGCCUUUACCAUCCAGAUUUAUACCAAAAUUCUGUUCAUGACCUCUUAGGAAAUCUCUAAGAAGAUUAGGCAUUGUUUACAGCUCUCCUCUUCUGAGCCAUAACCAGAUCACUCUUAACACUCUGCUCACAGAAAUGUAGGCUUUUUCUAGCCUGAUCCUUUGCAUUCUUACGGCCUCUACCCAUUACCUAGUUCCCAAGCUGCAUCCGCAUUUGUAGGUAUUUGUUAGAGCAGCACACCACUUCUUGCUAUCAAUUUAUACCUUGAUUCUUUCAGGGUGCUAUAACAAUGUAACUUGGACUGGGUAGUUUUUAAAAACGUAAUUUACUGAGAGUCCUGGAGUCAGGGAUUUCGAACAUUAAGGUGCCAGAAAAUGUGGUGAACAAUGAGGGCUCAAUCUCUGCUUCAAAGAUGGCACCUUCUAGCUAUGUCCUCAUAUGGUAGUAGAAGUAAAAGAGCUCCCUCAGGCCACAUUUUUAAGGAUACUAAUCCCAUUCAUGGGGGUAGAGCCUCAUGACCAAAUCACCUCCCAUAGGCCUUACCUCUUAAUACCAUUACCAUCAGGAUUAGGUAUUUGGGGCCAUCAUUAAAAAGUCAUUAGGUAUUUGGCAAUCAUUAAAAAGUCAGGAAACAACAGAUGCUGGAGAUAAUGUGGAGAAAUAGGAAAGCUUUUACAUUGUUGGUGGGAGUGUAAGUUAGUUCAACCAUUGUGGAAGAGUGUGUCGAUUCCUUAAGGAUCUAGAAUCAGAAAUUCCAUUUGACCCAGUAAUCCCAUUACUGGGUAUAUACCCAAAGGAUGAUCAAUCAUUCUACUACAAAGACACAUGCACACGUAUACAUAUGUUUAUUGCGGCAAUGUUCACAAUAGCAAAGACUUGGAACCAACCUAAAUGCCCAUUGAUGAUAGACUGGAUACAGAAAAUGUGGCACAUAUACACCAUGGAAUACUAUGCAGCCACAAAAAAGGAUGAGUUCAUGUCUUUUGCAGGGACAUGAAUGAAGCUGGAAACCAUCAUUCUCAGCAAACUAACACAGGAACAGAAAACCAAACACUGAAUGUUAUCACUCAUAAGUGGGAGUUGAUCAAUGAGAACACGUGGACACAGGGAGGGGAACAUCACACAUUGGGGCCUGUCAGUGGUGGGGGACUAGGGGAGGGAUAGCAUUAGAAGAAAUACCUAAUGUAGACGGCAGGUUGAUGAGUGCCACAAACCACCAUGGCAUGUGUAUACCUAUGUAACAAACCUGCAUAUUCUGCACAUGUAUCCCAAAACUUAAAGUAUAAUAAUAAAAAAAAGAAAAUGGUUCAUAUUCAUAAAAUAACUUUCAAGGUCAAGUUUCAUGACCAAAAAUGCAAUUCUAACCCCCCAAUUGACUGAAUGGAUCCCACACUUCUGCCAAAGAGAUUCCAAAGAAACCUGAAAAACUAGUUAAGGCCAUAAAGGGAAGGAAGUAGGUGGUCAGACAUGCCUCAUUAUACCCUCUCCCAUUUGGAUUUCAGGCAUAACUGACCAGCAUGAACAUUAAAACAGAUCUUGGCCUGGUGAGGUGGCUCAUGCCUAUAAUGUCAACACUUUGGGAGGCUGAGGUGGGCGUAUCCCUUGAAGUCAGGAGUUCAAGAAUAGCCUGGGCAACAUGGUGAAAUCCUGUCUCUGCAAAAAUACAAAAAUUAGCUAGGCAUGGUGACAUACACCUUAGUCCUAGCAACUUGGGAGGCUGAGGCAGGAGAAUCGCUUGAGCCUGGGAGGCAGAGGUUGCAGUGAGCUGAGAUUGUGCCACUGCAUUUCAGCCUGGGUGACAAAGUGAGACCACUUCUCAAAACAAACAAACAAAAACAAAGAAAAAAAACAGAUCUUAACACUGACAAAACAGAUUCUUUGUAGCAAUAAGAUACCAAAGUCCAACCUGACUCUAGUAUAACUUCACAUGAUAAAAAUGGAAAUAAAAAUAUUUUACCCCAAAGUAUGUUUUUUGGCCCUAUUUUGAAAUGGACCUGCAGAGCCAUUGAGAAACAUUUGCAUCUGUAAAGCAUCUCAUUAACAUAACUAGAUCUUUCCUCUUCCAGGCCUUCCGAAACCUGAAGAGAUUAACUGAGAAUCUAGCACCUUUUAAAAGUCUAAAUAGAAAACAUUUGCUAUCUAUUAUCUCUAAGGGCAGCCACUUAUGAGACUUCAUCUAUGUAAUAAAAACCUUGGUCUCCACAACCCCUUAUGUUAACCCAGUCAUUCUUUUCUAUUGAUUCCAGGUCUUUAGAAAAUAACUUAACUCUUUCAAGCAAUUGCCAAUCAGAAAAUCUUGGAAUCCUCCUAUGACCUG
rnacentral:lncRNA from 10 species